GUCAGUUUCUGUUAACCCUAUGGGGCACGUCUCAAGUCUUUGAAACCCAGAGCUACAUGUGCAUUCCUAUUUGGAGCUGGCAGAAGCAUCUUUGAAUGCUUAAGUGAGGAUUGCAAAAAGGUAUCGAAGCCACAGUGACAUGCGAUGACCUCCGAGCUCUUGCAACUGCAGUGUAGGACCCAACCAGCUGCUGUGAUGCAUGAAAACCAUCUUAGUUCAUUAAGAUUAAAGGAGCUCUUCUUGUUCGCAGGGCCGAUUUCU